UCUUCUUUUCUUUUUCACGUCGUCCCAAGGUCAUCGACGACCUCUUCUGUUCAUGUGGGGUUGUCAUUUGCCGAGCUACUUUUCGGCUCUUACGCCGUUCGAAGAUACUCAAUUGUCAUUCCGUCGACGGUUGCAGGUUCGCUUGGGGCCCUUCGGGCCCGAGGUCCCUCCUAGGGCUUGAAUUUGGGGAUUCGAGCUUCCGUUGCCUUCGGGCACGGUUUGCUUUCCUUUUUUGCUUGGGUUUUUUCUCUGCUGAAGUCGGAGCUAAGUUCGGCUCCCUUGGGAGUCUGAACG
rnacentral:lncRNA from 1 species